GACGAACGCUGGCGGCGUGCUUAACACAUGCAAGUCGAACGGAAAGGCCCUGCUUUUGUGGGGUGCUCGAGUGGCGAACGGGAGAGUAACACGUGAGUAACCUGCCCUUGACUUUGGGAUAACUUCAGGAAACUGGGGCUAAUACCGGAUAGGAGCUCCUGCUGCAUGGUGGGGGUUGGAAAGUUUCGGCGGUUGGGGAUGGACUCGCGGCUUAUCAGCUUGUUGGUGGGGAAGUGGCUUACCAAGGCUUUGACGGGUAGCCGGCCUGAGAGGGUGACCGGCCACAUUGGGACUGAGAUACGGCCCAGACUCCUACGGGAGGCAGCAGUGGGGAAUAUUGCACAAUGGGCGGAAGCCUGAUGCAGCAACGCCGCGUGCGGGAUGACGGCCUUCGGGUUGUAAACCGCUUUCGCCUGUGACGAAGCGUGAGUGACGGUAAUGGGUAAAGAAGCACCGGCUAACUACGUG
rnacentral:rRNA from 1 species